rnacentral:rRNA from 1 species
AGCGAACGCUGGCGGCAGGCUUAACACAUGCAAGUCGAGCGGGCACUUCGGUGUCAGCGGCAGACGGGUGAGUAACACGUGGGAACGUACCCUUUGGUUCGGAAUAACGCUGGGAAACUAGCGCUAAUACCGGAUACGCCCUUUUGGGGAAAGGCUUGCUGCCGAAGGAUCGGCCCGCGUCUGAUUAGCUAGUUGGUGGGGUAAUGGCCUACCAAGGCGACGAUCAGUAGCUGGUCUGAGAGGAUGAUCAGCCACACUGGGACUGAGACACGGCCCAGACUCCUCCGGGAGGCCGCAGUGGGGACUAUUGGACAAUGCGCGCAAGACUGAUCCCGCCAUGCCGCGUGAGUGAUGAAGGCCUUAGGGUUGUAAAGCUCUUUUGUCCGGGACGAUAAUGCCGGUACCGGAAGAAUAAGCCCCGGCUACCUUCGU